AUAUAUCUCCACCAACCUCUACCCUGUAGAUCCGAAUUUGUGGUACGUACAUUUUCACGAAUUCGUUUCUACCGGUGACAGGUAGCUGCGAGGACACAACA